rnacentral:rRNA from 1 species
UACGAAGGGCGCUAGCGUUGCUCGGAAUCACUGGGCGUAAAGCGCACGUAGGCGGAUUCUUAAGUCGGGGGUGAAAUCCUGGAGCUCAACUCCAGAACUGCCUUCGAUACUGGGAAUCUUGAGUCCGGAAGAGGUGAGUGGAACUGCGAGUGUAGAGGUGAAAUUCGUAGAUAUUCGCAAGAACACCAGUGGCGAAGGCGGCUCACUGGUCCGGUACUGACGCUGAGGUGCGAAAGCGUGGGGAGCAAACAGG